rnacentral:rRNA from 1 species
UGAACGCUGGCGGCAGGCCUAACACAUGCAAGUCGAGCGGCAGCACGGGUACUUGUACCUGGUGGCGAGCGGCGGACGGGUGAGUAAUGCCUAGGAAUCUGCCUGGUAGUGGGGGAUAACGCUCGGAAACGGACGCUAAUACCGCAUACGUCCUACGGGAGAAAGCAGGGGACCUUCGGGCCUUGCGCUAUCAGAUGAGCCUAGGUCGGAUUAGCUAGUUGGUGGGGUAAUGGCUCACCAAGGCGACGAUCCGUAACUGGUCUGAGAGGAUGAUCAGUCACACUGGAACUGAGACACGGUCCAGACUCCUACGGGAGGCAGCAGUGGGGAAUAUUGGACAAUGGGCGAAAGCCUGAUCCAGCCAUGCCGCGUGUGUGAAGAAGGUCUUCGGAUUGUAAAGCACUUUAAGUUGGGAGGAAGGGCAGUUACCUAAUACGUAAUUGUUUUGACGUUACCGACAGAAUAAGCACCGGCUAACUCUGUGCCAGCAGCCGCGGUAAUACAGAGGGUGCAAGCGUUAAUCGGAAUUACUGGGCGUAAAGCGCGCGUAGGUGGUUCGUUAAGUUGGAUGUGAAAGCCCCGGGCUCAACCUGGGAACUGCAUUCAAAACUGUCGAGCUAGAGUACGGUAGAGGGUGGUGGAAUUUCCUGUGUAGCGGUGAAAUGCGUAGAUAUAGGAAGGAACACCAGUGGCGAAGGCGACCACCUGGACUGAUACUGACACUGAGGUGCGAAAGCGUGGGGAGCAAACAGGAUUAGAU